CCUGGUGGUUGAAGCGGGGUGGAACCACCCGUUCCCAUCCCGAACACGGAAGUGAAACGCCCCAGCGCCGAAGAUACUGAGGCCGCAAGGCCUUGGGAAAAUAGGUCACUGCCAGGA
rnacentral:rRNA from 1 species